rnacentral:rRNA from 1 species
CGGUAAUCAGGCCUAACACAUGCAAGUCGAGCGGAUGACGGGAGCUUGCUCCUUGAUUCAGCGGCGGACGGGUGAGUAAUGCCUAGGAAUCUGCCUGGUAGUGGGGGACAACGUUUCGAAAGGAACGCUAAUACCGCAUACGUCCUACGGGAGAAAGCAGGGGACCUUCGGGCCUUGCGCUAUCAGAUGAGCCUAGGUCGGAUUAGCUAGUUGGUGGGGUAAUGGCUCACCAAGGCGACGAUCCGUAACUGGUCUGAGAGGAUGAUCAGUCACACUGGAACUGAGACACGGUCCAGACUCCUACGGGAGGCAGCAGUGGGGAAUAUUGGACAAUGGGCGAAAGCCUGAUCCAGCCAUGC